AAAUAAGUGACCAGAUAACUGGAUAAAUAUGAUAAGUAAUACUUGAACAAAUAUAAGGAUUUAAAGCAAUGAAUAUAACCUCAGAUAGUUGACUAGAUAACUGGAUGAGGGAUCUGCGUAAAGUAGUCAACCUCUGUGUUUGACCAGAUAACUGGAAGAGGGAUCUUUUUAAUUAAGUGUUGUUUUUUUAAGUAAAAGAUAGAACUAUAAUUAACAGAGAACAACACAAGAGAUUUAUACUGGUUCACCCAAACAAGGGCUAGUCCAGUCCCGACCAACUGCCGGAAUUCACUCGCCUAAAGGUAAUGGCAAAACCUUUCUAAGCUUUAAGGCUACUUCGCUUAGGAACCAGUCUUUUACAGGUAGACUCACACCUUAGAGUAUCAAGGGCACUCUUAAGAACCUCUAACUUUUACGGGUAAGUUAGUACCUUAGAGUAUCAAGGAACUCUUAAAAACCUCUCUAAGCUUUAAGGCUACUUCGCUUAGGAACCAGUCUUUUACGGGUAGACUCACACCUUAGAGUAUCAAGGGCACUCUUAAGAACCUCUAACUUUUACGGGUAAGUUAGUACCUUAGAGUAUCAAGGAACUCUUAAAAACCUCUCUAAGCUUGGAGGCAAAAACGUGUGGACAAGUGUGGAGUGAAAGCUCUUGAGUUUGCUUGUAGUGUGGUGAGUGAAAAUGAGGGGAUUACCCUUCUAUUUAUAGCCUUGGCCACUCAAUGUCCACCCUUGGAUCUUCAAUGGAUGGCUCCUUGAUUUUUC
rnacentral:lncRNA from 1 species